AGUGAACGCUGGCGGUAGGCCUAACACAUGCCAGUCGAACGGCGGCACAGUAAGAGCUUGCUCUUACGGGUGGCGAGUGGCGGACGGGUGAGGAAUACAUCGGAAUCUACUUUUUCGUGGGGGAUAACGUAGGGAAACUUACGCUAAUACCGCAUACGACCUACGGGUGAAAGCAGGGGAUCUUCGGACCUUGCGCGAUUGAAUGAGCCGAUGUCGGAUUAGCUAGUUGGCGGGGUAAAGGCCCACCAAGGCGACGAUCCGUAGCUGGUCUGAGAGGAUGAUCAGCCACACUGGAACUGAGACACGGUCCAGACUCCUACGGGAGGCAGCAGUGGGGAAUAUUGGACAAUGGGCGCAAGCCUGAUCCAGCCAUACCGCGUGGGUGAAGAAGGCCUUCGGGUUGUAAAGCCCUUUUGUUGGGAAAGAAAAGCAGCAGGUUAAUACCCCGCUGCUCUGACGGUACCCAAAGAAUAAGCACCGGCUAACUUCGUG
rnacentral:rRNA from 1 species